rnacentral:lncRNA from 1 species
UUUUUGCCGUGCUAUUUCACUCAACUCCUUUGUUCCUAGAGCCAGCAUUCCUGUUUCCUUGGUUUUGUUGUUCAAUUAUUGCCAGAAGGGAGCUCCUCCUGGCUUCGUGUGUGAAACCAGUUAGAUUCAACAUAUAUGCAUAUAUUGCUAGGUAGGGUGAUAUCAUGCAAGAUAUAUGAUCUAUUUUAUAUAAUUAUUGAGCUUUGCACGGGUUGGUAAUAGAAUAAACAUGAAUGUUGUAAUAUCCUUUAUUCUAUUCUUUGUGGUUAAUUAUAUUGUUACAAAUAAGAUACACUACAAGAAAUUCGCAUUCACACAAGAGUCAUGAGACACCGGUUGAAAACAUACCUGUUGUCCGAAAAAAUCAAACCACGGGCUUUUCUUCACUAUGGAAAAAGCUGUUGUCUUAGUUUCCAUCCAACAACGUUUAUGAAGGAUUUUGCACACUAUUGUCUAAACUAUUCGAUUUGACUUAUUUAGACAACUGUGUUUUCAUGGCCGGUUGUUUAUAACUAUUUUACACAAGGGUGCACGUAUGUUGUAUGUACAAAAAUUCAUUCUAUCUUAAGACAGCUGUAAUUUUACGAGAUGUUGUUAGUAACCCUUUUAUACAAUAGUGCAUGCAUUUUGUAUGUACCAAAAUUCAUUCUAUCUUAAGACAACAAUUUUA